UUGGUAGAUACAAUAGAAAGAAAACUGGUUGUUUGGGUUUCAGCUAUUUGAAUAGUUAAAUACUAUAUUUUGGUAGGUAAAUAUUUAAAUGGUACACUGAAGGCAUAAUUAAAUUACAUAUAUUAAUUUGAUUAUUUUUUUGAAGGAAAAAGUAAAUUAAAACUGACCAGUUUGGAUCUAAAAUAAAUGGAAAAUAGGUUAAUUUUCUAGAAGCUCUUUGUGAUAGAUAAUGGUGCCUGUAUCUGUAUCGGAAAAGGUUGAGUAAGCUAAUAGGGCCUGAGUUUCAGGGUGACUCGUAGCCCUGAAAAGUUUUCAAGUAUUUUGAUGCCUGUUACAGAUGAAUUAACCCUGUUGUUUUAUCCACUUCCUAUGAUAAAAGCUAAAAGAGAUCAGACCCUCAACAAAGUUAUAUUCUAUAAGUGGUAAAGGAAUAAGUUCUGCUAUUUGUAAUAUCAUUUUCUUCUAUUUAGUGUGCCUUGUUUUUUUCUAUGUCUUGUUAAAAUACUCCCCCAGGAUUAUGGGUGAGGUCUUAAGUUUUUCUUUUAAUUUGUAUUAGGUACAAAUGUUGCUUAAAGGUUAUCCUUCAUUAAGUUGUCCUGCUCACUGAUUGUUUGAAUUGGCUCCCUGUCAAAGUGGUCACUUCAGCUAUUACUGCGGAUGGUAUCUUGCCGCGCUGGGUAGGGGUCUGAAAUAUAAAUUUUUAGUUCAGUUAAUUAGCAGUAGUGCGGACUCAUUGCACUGAGACUGCAGAAACUGAGAGAUGUGUGUAACCUUAACAACUGAUUGUCUUAGAAACUGCUGUUGUCACAAAACAUUGUAGGAUACUGGGUUUUAUGAAUGUUUGUCUGUAUACCAAAUCACUCUGAAUAUGCUGAGUUUGAUUCUUGAAAUAAGCCCAAAUUGUUUGUGCUUGUCUAUGAUUUUUUUUAAACUGAAUUUUUCUUUAAAGAGCUAAAACCUGUGUUAAUGCUAUGGGAUUUGGAGUAGUCUUAGUGUUUAUUGUUUACUCGCUAUAUACCCAGUGGACAUUGUCAGAAGUAUUGGUAGAAUAUAAAAAGAACUGUUUGUAUGUCUCAGUAUAAACCUCGUUUAAUAAGAAGUAAAAUUCUCUUUCUGUUAAUUUUAAUUUUUCCCUGUAACAGUACAAAAAAAGAAGAUUUUUUUUGUAUUGAGUUCUUUAAAUUCUAGAUAAGAAAUUGAAUCAUUCUUGUGUGAAAAGAAGAUUUUGAGUUGUAUGGAGAAUUGUAAAUUAUUUUGUAUAAAGAGGAUGAGUGAAUUAUGAACUAGAAAACUCAUUCAAAUAUUCAGAUUGUCUGAAUAAUAGUCGUAGCAUGUUUCCUUCCUGUAAGGUAUUUCUGAAGAUUUUUCAAAAAGUACUGUUCAAAAUUAAACUUGCAUUAUACCUAGAUCUGAAUUGAUAAAUUUAAUUUAAAGCCAGCUGUGAGAGAGCUUCAAGAUGUUGAUUUAUAAAAUCAGAUAGAUUCUGGAAAAAGUUUUUUUUCAUAUGACAAAGGUGUAGUCUGUGCUAACCCCUCAGUUUUGGAGGGUUCCCCUGUUAUGUCUUUAACAGGUGCUGGUGCGAAGAAACAUUAGGAGAAAUAUUAAGAGAGACAUUUUUGACCGUGUGAUCGGUGGGGAAAACUGGAAUCAAUUGGAUAACACCUAAAAUUCGUUGCAGGUUAUCCGGGACUGAUCAUGGUGUUCUUGGCAGUGGCUGCGUUCCUUAUGGUCGGCCUGGCUGGGCUCGGGAGGAAUGUCAGGCAGGGCGGCACAGCCCGCGAGUGCGGGAGCCACUCUGCCCCUGCUUCGGGUCUCUGUGUCUCUGGUGGAAAAGGAGAAGCAGUUUGCACAGAGGACACUCAGCUCUGUGCACAGAUUUCCAGCAAUGGCUCCCUGCACACAGGAACAGAAUUCCUGCAAAUUGUCAUCUUGCCAGAGAAGCUCCGAGGAGCCUCACUUGAGUGGAUGGAGCUGUGCUGUCCCCAGCUUCCUCUGCCAUAUGUUGCCAUCCCCGUGAGUGUCAGCAGAAAUUACUGUGCUCAGAAUUUAUGAACAGAAAUGCAAAAUAUAUUUGUCUGGUACAGAAAUGCCAACCUUCUGAACCUCAGGUAGCCUCAGAUGGUGUUUUUGACAGAUCUGUACAUCUUCCUUGCUGAUGAAGAUUUAUCUCUGGAUCUUUCUGUGUCAGAGAAGGAGUUUGCUCUUUUGAGGGUGGUUUGAGUACAUGAGAUAUGUGAUCCCAUCCCUGGAGAGCAUGUUCUGCCAUUGGCAUGAGCUGCUACAUGGAAGCUCUUCUGGUCAGAGGAGGUGUCACUCACUGCAUCCUUCUAGCUCUUCUUCCCAGCAUACCAGAUGGAGAUGAACAUGGAAGCACCAGGAGAACAAUUUCCACAUGAUGUUCAGCCAGUUCAAGACUGAAUUUCACCCAUGGCCACUAGAAGUUUAGAGGGUACUAUAAGGUUUUACAGCAAGAGAAGACAUCACAGGUUUCGUAUAAUCUGGCACUGGCCAUUUUUCAUUUGCCAGGAUGUCUCUACUCUCUGUGUGGUUGAUUGAGGAAAAAUGUCCAUGAGUGUAAUUCAGAGGCUGGGUGGAUUGAACUGAUUCCUCUUCAGAGCCUAAGCUGGCUCUGUAAGUAUAAACCAUACAAAUUCCUCCUUUUUCAGGGUAAGACUUUUCAAAGUAAUCUCAGUUUUUACAUUUUUGCACAAUUCUUAAUCCCAUUCUAUUAUUCCCUUGUAUUUUGGGCACAUUUGGAACCUGAACACUUGAGCCCACAUAUAUGCAUCAGCUCCAUGACUCACCUUUGAGCAUUACUUAUUGCACAUGAUGAAUAUUUGGUUUGUGUAACAGAUCUCUGGCAGAGGGGUUAUUUCCCCAAGUUUUUGUGUGAAUUAGAAGAAUCUGGGAUACCCUUUGUAGACUUGUUUCAUGCUUCAGCAUUUGACUCACGACUCUAAUCUGGUACCAUCUUCAUGGCUUUAUGUACCUCUUAGCUGCCUACAGCUCAGAUUGAUUUUCCUCCUACUCACCCUUUUGCUCACUACUCUUCUCCCAGUUCUCCUCUAAUUCCUCUUGUUUCCAUAUGCUCUGUUUUGUUUGUUCCCUCUUCUUCCCUCCUCUGUGGUGCUCAGCCUGUCCAGCCAGGGGAUGCUGGUAUACUGGUUUGAAAGCAAAACCAGUGAGACCCCAAGUCAGAAAUACAAUUUAAUAUAGAGAGAACAAACAAACAACAAAAAAGGUAAAAAUAAAAUAAAAUAAGAUAAAUGUAAUAGUACAAAAGACCACUGACAGAGUCAGAAUGCAAACCUGACACCCUGUUGGUCAGGGUGUUUGAAGCAGUCUGAAGUAAGUCCUCCUGGAGUGACAGUUGUGGCUCCGUUGGAGUAGAGAUGAUCCUCAAGAAAGGAUCCAGUCUUCCUUCAAGGAUUCAGUGGAAAACCAGCUGCCUUAGUGUUUGGGAUUGCAGGUUUUAUGCCUGUGGAAAGGCUUUGGCUCCUCCCACUGAGUGGAGCAUCUCACAAUGGAAUGAAGUAAUGUUGUCAGUCAUGUGAGAGGCCUUAAAUGGCCCAUUCACAGGUAAUAUCCCUCGGAGGAGGAUGGGUGGAGGAAGAGAUAAGAAGGCACUGCCUUAUCUGGUGUUAUCAGGUGUCCAUUAACAGAAGGCAUCCACCCUCUUCCCCUCCUAGAGUUACAAGAGAUAAAGAACAAUAUCUCCCAACAGGUUUCAUGAGAUGAAAAUAGAAUACACAUUUUUGGUUACAUUUUGCAACUCAAGACAGAAAGGGAUACCAAACAUCUCUCUUUUGUACAGGAACAAAGAUGAGGGGCUGAGAUAUCUUGCCAAACCCCACUGAAGUAGUUUGUCUGUUAUCAAUUGUAUGCUUGUCACACUUUAAGAGGUCUAAAGGUCAUGUCUGUCACCAUGAGAUUUUCCUAGUUUGCUGAGCGUUCAUACUAAAGUAGAAGUGUGCACCUUCUCACGCUCAUUCAUGUAAACAAGGAGAUCGUGUUUUGUAAAUAUUGUAAUUGUUUUGAAUUCCUUCUCCAAGAGAAGGAAUGAUUGUGUGACAGCCCCUUUGACCAAUGUGGCUGGAAGGUGGGAAUGCCACUCUCCAAUCCAUGGGCACCUUGUUAAAAGUAUAUAAUAGGAAGUAAUAAACAAAGCAGGAGAUCCUCCCUGCUGCUCUGAUCUCCCCAAAACUCCAGACUCCCUGUGUCUUUUCUUGUUGUGGUGUGGGUUUUCUGCUUUGAGUUUUCAGGCCAGAUUUCUAUUUCAUUUGUGUGUUAUGGCUAAAAUUAUGCAUACCGCUAUGUCAGUUUUCUGUAUCCCUGCCUCUGUUGCUAGAAUCUUCUUUGCCAGUCUUCCUUAGCUCAAUAUAUCAUUUGCUAUUUUGUAUCAUUACACUGCUUUUGCUAUUCCCAUUGGAUUUAGUUCUGUAUUCCCACCUUAGACUCCUCCCUGAGUGCAUUCUCAUUGGUUGUUUGCUUUGUAUUGCCUUGUCUAUAAAACCCACGGCGAGAAGUGUGUUCCCCGUUCUUGGUGUUCAGUUUUAGGUUUUAUUCUUCAGUUGUACCUUUAAUAAAUCUCCCUAGUUUACCCCAAGACCUGUCUCGCCUCUGCUUCAUCUCUGCGCCCCAAAAGCACUCGCUGAGACCAUCGGAGUUCCUGAGCAGGGAGGAAGAGUCUCCCCGGGGGGAAUGUGCCGCAACCCAAUGCUGCCAUGCGCGUCCUGGGAAACGCACACCACGGCAUUUUCUGGCGAGGCUCACAGCGACACAUGUCUUAGGGAUCACUCCUGUUUCUCCUUCAGACACGGUCAGGUGGGACUGUGACUUUGACCUCCUUUCAAUUCUACAAGAAGCAAAAUCCUGAGGCUGUCUGGAUUUGAGGUAAGUGAAUGAAUUCACCUUUAGAAAGAUGAUGUUAAACGUAGGGAUAGCUCAUUGUGUGAAAUCUGUUUUCGUGCUUCCAAAAUCUCCCUGGAGGAGGAGGACUUGUCCUAACUUGGAUAAACCUCCACAAAGCUCCUGUGCUGCACUUGGCAUUUGGAAUGGGAGAAGCCAUUCCAUGCCCUGCAGACACAGGAGAAAUGAUUGUCAGCUGCAACCCACACACUGAGGUUAUGAAACCCAAAGUGCAGGAGAAAUCUCCACCCUGAAAGGAGAUAUGUAUGCUUGAUUUGGAAUUCCAAUGGGAUGGGUGAGGUGGGUGUGCUGAUUACAGUUUGGAGCAGGAAUGAUGGAGGAUUUACAAGAGCUGGGCUCCUUCCCAGAGCUCUCCAGCUUGAACACGGCAAUGUCUCCUUAAAGGUCUGCAGAGAGGGAUUUUAGUGCAAAUUCCCUAUUGAUAAUCCUUCACAGAAUGAGCAAUACAGGCAACAAUCUGGAAACGUCCAUGAGACCCAAAUUCCUGUGUCCCUCUUCCCAGGGGCAGGGCUCCAGAGCUUGAGCUGACCUCUCCUUUACUUCCCCUUUCCUUCCAGAAAGCGUUGGUGCAGGAUUUUCACUGGGGCUAUGCCAGCCAAAGUAGGCUUGCAGGAGGAAUUGUGCCCUCAGCAAACACAUUUCAAAGUCAUACAGAGUAUGCCACCAUGGCCGUGUGUUGGGGCAGUGUGGUGACAGCUCCUCAGGUGGCACACCAGCUUUAGCAGGACGUGAGCUAAGAAAAGCCAUGUUUGGUGGGGUAGUCCAAUGCUGCAGGUACCAAAUGUGUAGCCAAAAAGUGCUUUACAGGAAGGUGCAGGUCUGUUGUCUCAGGGUGGUGUUUGUCAUGGCUCUUACUCCCUAAGAGCCACUCUGUAAUGGGCUGGGAGGGGAAAAAAAGAGGGUGAGGAUUGCAAAGGCACUGCUUAGAACUGAAAUGAGUUGUUUGAAAGGUCUCACGGGUUAAGAAAAGCUGGGGAUCUUGGAGGGGCUGGGUGUGCUACAGAUUCACAGCAGGAAAGUGACUGAAGAAGAGGGUUAUGGGCCUGGAGAAGAUGGACAGCUGAUAAUUAUUCCCUAUUGUUGGGGGUUAGAUUUGCCUCUUUUUCACUUAGAGAAUUUUUUCCCAUAAGUUGCUAAGAAACCUUAACGACAGUACUUAACCAGAACAAAGGGAGUAAUUGAAGGACAUGGCAGCACAAGGCUACACCUAUUGUUUUUCAGUCUCCAGGAGCUCCCCUCAGAGGGGAGAGAUAAUGCGAACUUUGGUAAAGGUAAGAGACAGAACUGGGGGGGCAGUUGCUCACUCUUGCUCUCAGCAUCGAGGAGGACAGUCAAGCUGCCCCUCGCUGCAAGAAGAGUCCACGGCCAUCACUCCGUCUUGUCCUGGGAAAUCUACCGUCAUCUGCUCGUGUACCCAGGAAUCCUGAGUUUGCUGUUUCUUCGGAGCUUUGAGGCUUUCCUGCUACUCUGUAGCCCUGCACUGCCCAGCUCUGCCGGGACACCCCCUGCCAUUCCAGCUACCAGCGCAGAGCUCCUCGUCUCAUCCACCAGCCUGGGACUUUCCACCCUUCCAGCUUGGCCUCUCGGAGUCCUGCAGGGGCACUGAGAUCAAACUGCCCCAGGCUUUUGUGAAAGAAAGCCCUCAAGAAGCUGUGGAAAGCUCCUGUGGCUGACUCUAUCCCCAGCUCUCAACCCCGGGUCUGUUGGAUGCUCUCCCUCCCUGCCACCCGCCCAGACAGUACCACACGCAUCCCAACAAACCCAAGGUGUAUUAACACAGACAGAAUGUGAAAUCCAAGUGAAGGAAACAGUCUGCAGAACAAAUCUCAUGGUAUUUGGCUUGCUCAUGGGCUAUGCAAGAAGGAAGGAGAAAAAUCAUCACCAGCAAGAAGCUUUGCAGUGGGAAAAGCCUUUUUUCGGCAAAGGAUUAAGUAACACCAUUAAAUAUUGAACGAUGCUGAGGUGUGUCUGUGCACAGCCUCAUUUCAGCCCAGUGUGAUGCAGAUUUUAUUUCCUCCUCUGCAGAAAUCAUGAAGUCCUGUUUUAAACCACGAUGGAAGAGACAAUCGGAUAAAAUCUGUACCUUGCCACUACUACUUUUAUGAUUUGUUAAGUUCACUGGAAUGAAUAAUACAGCAUGAACAGAAUAUUUUAAAUACCCCUUGGCAGUCACUGAAGUACAAUAAUCAUUUAAAAGACACGGGAAUUACCAAACUGCAUGUGCAGCUGGUGCCACCUCAAACCAAAGGGAGCCUUGCCUGGGUGAUUUUCACCUCUGCACUCUAAUUUUGUAUUUCACCAGAGCUGUUAAGAAUAAAUAAAUAAUAAAUUGAACAGCAAAAAACAAGUCAUUCUGGGCAACCUCUGGCAGCUGUUUGCUCUUAUAAUGCUGUUUGGUGAGCUGGAAGCACCUAGUUCAUUUCCUAAAGAGCAUUUUCUGCUUAGGUUUGGGCUCUAUUAAUCUGUUCAAGCCAAUUCUCUAAAAUCCAAACCAUCUGUAUUUGGGAAGAUCAUGGUUUAUUUGGAUUCUCUUUGUGUCUGCUGUCAGUAGAUGAUUAAAAGUAUGAGGGAUUUACAGUGUAAAGUCUCUCAACCGACAUGUUACAGUGAACUUCUAAGCAGUAUCUCUUUCAAUAUUUGGGUAACAGCUGGUACAGGUGAGUCCAGCAGGGAAACAAAGAACAGCCACAAAACCUGGAAAUGGCUGAACUUUGGCAGUGUAGAAUGGCUGCAAAGAGUGGGGAUAGCUGAACUUUCAGUGUUUCACCUGGUGUUUUACUGGCAGUUUCUGAAGAUUCCUUGUGAAACACACAGGUAACAUUUUUGUAUCAGGGUGCCUGGAAUUUCUAGGGAGGCAGUGAAGAGGUAACUGGAGAUCUGGCCUAGUAAGCCAUUACUUCAUGUUGUCCUCAUGCCCCAUGCCCGGGUGCCAUCCAGCCCCAUGCUGUGUGUGGGGCAGCUGCUGCUCCUCCAUGCCCCACUCGCAGGGGGCGCUGCAUCCUCCCACUCCCCACUGCUUCCCAUCCUGCACAAGUGGAUGGAGCAUCAGCUCUUGUGGAGAAUUGCCAGCCAUAAGACAUAUUAAAUCUAUUUUUCUCAGAAAAUUGUAAAUAAUUCAUGGGGCUUGGUUCUAUAAAGAGGCCAGUUAUAAAUCAUCCAAGCUGCACCUGGAGAUUUCUGAUGUCAGCAUUAUGACAUGAAUUACAUCUCUCCAGGGCCAUCUAUUACUGUAAACACAAUUCCAAAGAGGAAUUAUUCAUGUAACAUGCACAGGCAAACAAGUAAUUUUCAGCCUGGAUUUGAUACGAAAGCUUUGCAAUCCAACUGAGUUGUUAGUGGCACUAAUUUUCUGCUUUGGCUUUAGAGAUGCUUUUACUCUGCUCCUGUACAGGUGGAUUUUUCCCUGGGGAGCACCUGUUGGUGGGAAUGCUGGCUGACUGUACACCACCAGCAGCCCAGGUCCUGUGAGGUGCAAGGAAAAAGCCAUGGAUGUGAUUCCAGAGGGACAAGAGCAUGUGCUGCAGAAAAGAUCUGGAUUCUGAGAUUUCCAUGUAUCACCAUCUUAACUGUGCUGGGAGUACAGUCCACUUACAGCUGUUGAAUUACACCAACUCUUUCUUUUUCAUUCUGCACUUCAGAAAUAGAAACAUUGUUGAAUGGAAACAUGCCAGGUUCCUGAUGGUUUCCAAUUCUUGGUGUCAGCACAGAAAGAUAUGAGAGGCAAAAAACUGAGAUGUGUUUAUGUACUGAAUGAAAGGACUCCUGAAAUCCUGCUUUUCUGUGGUAUCUGUUAGAUGGGAAAUGGUAGAGAUGUUUCUGUUAAGGCAACCAAGUAGGUGAGUGAAAAGCAGGGGGGCAAAGCUACAUCCAGAGUUGGGAACGAUCUGCUGAGCUCAGAACAAAGACGAAUAAAAUGGAAUCUAUCUUGGCAAGAGGCCUGUGGAAUGAGCCUGGUGCCAGGUGCUCCUGUGGACUUGACCAUCUGAGGCUUGGCCUUGGCCAGGCCAGCAGUUUGGCUGUGCCUGGCCCUGCCCAGCACUGCCUGCACCACGUGUAGUUUAUGGCCAGCAGGGACCCGUGGCAGUACAAAGGCUUAUGUCUCCGCAGGCUGGACUUUAACAGUUCGUGCUCAGCUCUGAGGCACUGCUGUCUGGGCAGAGGUCACAUCCUUCCUGCCCCAGAAAGGGCUUUGGAAAGGCUGGAAAAACACUCUCUGGCCUACAGACUGCUGUGGAAUCUCUCCAGAAAAAGGUAUCUCCUUUUUCCCUUUCUGCUCAGCUCUGUGGAACAGAAAUAGGUACAAAGCACCUGAACACACAGAGGUGGGCUGCUGAAGCUGGAUCCAGUGGCAUCUGUCUGAAGUGCCCAUGUAAUAAAUACUGUUGAAUAAUUCAUGUUUUGGUGUAUAUAAAAUGUAAAUAUGUUUUGUAAAAUGAAAUGCACAAGCAGGUCGGGCAUGAAACCGACUAAUUUUAGGAUGGGCAAUGUUGCCGGAGAUCAGCCAGAGUCAAGACAGCACUCAAUAUGAGUUAGAAAUCUUGCUCGUUUAUUCAGCUACUUGACAUACAUUUAUACUGUGCUAAGCAUAUCAUGCACCUAACUCUGAACAUCAUUGGUUAAACCAUAGUGUUCACGCAUCCUUGCAGUAUACAUAAUUGGUUUAGAAGCUCUGCGGCUGGAUGCUGUGAGCCUUCUCCAACUUAUGGUCAACACACCCUGUCUAGCAUCCUGUUACAGCUAUUGCUCCAAACUUUACUUCCUCCUUAUCCCAUCUAAAGAACAGUUCAAGGACGUUUCAGCUUCUACUCAUCCUUUAGGCUAAAAGCAGGAUUGUGCACAUGUCCCUGCUUUUCCAGCCAUGCAUCCACAGGGCAAUACCCAGAGGCUACGAAUCCGGGAAAGACAAUACCCCUGCCGGUAAAUUGGGAAGCACACUAUUAACACCAGAAUAAAGGGUAAAUCAAGAUUGGAAUCAGUCCUCCGGGGCCGUGGAACUGUGAAGUUCCCAGCCAUCAUGGGAGAUACCAUCGGGAGAAUGCCUUCCAUUCAGGAUUUCACCUCCCAUUCAUACACGGAGGAACAGACUUAACAUUCAUCUUUCUUCGGGGAACCCCAUUCAGCAGACCGGACAGCAGAAAUGAAUAUGAAGAAACCGACCCAAAGACAAAGAUCUUUGGGGAAAUACUCUGCCGCCGGCAAAAUAAACUGUAUAAAAAGGGGACCCUGAAAAGGGCCAAUUGGUCCUGUUAUAAACGUAGAAUGGUUAAUUCAUGUUCUUAUGAUAAAUUAGAAAUUUAUAAAAUUGUAUAAAGUGAUAUCAGGUAAAAGUUUAUGUUUUAAGAGAUUCUGCAGCAGACGGCGAAACUGACCACCCUGAGACAGCCGGCGCCCCAUUCAGAAAAGAACAAAGGGAUUUUCCGGGAAAGCCCGCAGCUGCCCAAGCACCAGGGAGGGGACCCCGGAGAUAAGCUGGCACCAGCAACUCACACCUUGGGUGCCAGCUUCACGGACCAUCAAGCCACAUCUUCGAUAUCCCGACCACUCAUCAACUAUAAGGACCUAUUGAAAUUGGACAUUAACAUUUGAACUGAGAAAAGAACUCUUUUCUGCUUGGUCGGGGAGACUCCCGAAUUUGUAUAGUUGGUGGGGAAACAAUGGGGAAUAUGGGGAAAUAUUGCCGAGGGCGGAAUAAAGUGUAUAAAAACCAAGCCCCGAACCGGGCUAAUUCGUGAACCGUUGGGGGAGAUAGCAGGCUGCCAGGCCCUGUAUCUCACGGUUCACCCUUGGCAUUUCCCGGGAAAACUCUGUCAAGUUUUUUCCGCUGGUGGUGGGUUAUCGAAAUUCUGUGAUUUGGUUUGUUAUUAAUAAACCAAAUUAUUAUUUAAAUUGGAAUAUCUGAUUGGCAUUUAUAACAGUCCAACUCCCUCAACAGCCUCUACUUAAGCACCACCGUGCUGCCAGGAGAUACCGAGAGAUCAUAAACAGGAGAUUAGCACAGGGACGGGCACGGCUGGGGGCAGAGCCAGCUCAGGGGCAGAAAACAAAUCAAAAGCUCAUUUAGAGCUAAAGCGGGACUUGAUUUUGCCCAGAAGUGCCCUCGCUCAGAGUGCCCACAGUGUUCUGUUUCCCUAAAACUUGUGAUGGCGGGGGAAGAAAUGCCACGGUGAGCGACCACCCUCAACUGCUCCGGAGAGUCGCAGGCAGAGGGGGCUUCGCUCCUGCCCACCCCGGGCCCGCACCAGGACACGGCCCGGUCCCGAGCGCGGAGCGCUCUCGCAGUCCAGUCCCGGCGGCGCCGCUCCCGCCCACUGGAGGGCGCCUGCCCCACGCGC